GCGGAGAUGGUAGUAAUUGGCAACACACGUGCUCUUACCAGGCAUGAAUUGCGGGUUCGAGUCCCGUUCUCCGUU
rnacentral:tRNA from 1 species